rnacentral:rRNA from 1 species
GUCCCGGACUGCGUGUAUCCGAAGAAAAAGCAUCGGCUAACUCCGUGCCAGCAGCCGCGGUAAUACGGAGGAUGCGAGCGUUAUCCGGAUUUAUUGGGUUUAAAGGGUGCGUAGGCGGUCCGUUAAGUCAGCGGUAAAAUUGCGGGGCUCAACCCCGUCGAGCCGUUGAAACUGGCAGACUUGAGUUGGCGAGAAGUACGCGGAAUGCGCGGUGUAGCGGUGAAAUGCAUAGAUAUCGCGCAGAACUCCGAUUGCGAAGGCAGCGUACCGGCGCCACACUGACGCUGAGGCACGAAAGCGUGGGGAUCGAACAGGAUUAGAUACCCCUGGUAGUCCACGCAGUAAACGAUGAAUGCUGGUUGUCCGGGUCGAAUGAGAUCUGGGCGGCGAAGCGAAAGCGAUAAGCAUUCCACCUGGGGAGUACGCCGGCAACGGUG